AGUCUGAUGGAGCACGCCGCGUGAGUGAAGAAGGUUUUCGGAUCGUAAAACUCUGUUGUAAGGGAAGAACACGUACGAGAGUAACUGCUCGUACCUUGACGGUACCUUAUUAGAAAGCCACGGCUAACUACGUGCCAGCAGCCGCGGUAAUA
rnacentral:rRNA from 1 species